rnacentral:tRNA from 1 species
GGAGGGGUGGCAGAGCGGUUGAAUGCACCGGUCUUGAAAACCGGCAAGGGUGAAAGCCCUUCGAGGGUUCGAAUCCCUCCUCCUCCG